GGAGGCUCUUGGGCCCGAACGGCGGGCUCCAUCCCCAGGUCACAGCCUGCGCAGCCGGCGUGCGGAUCACGUGUAUAUGGACACGCAUCGAACUUCGGAGGAGCCCCCGAGUUCGGUUUCAACAUCUCGUUGAAGACGGCUCCUUCAGACCCACGAGGAUGGUCUUGAGGCCUCGUGUCGCUGACACGUCUGCGCACUCACAGCUAC
rnacentral:lncRNA from 1 species